UAAUAAAACCUAUAUUGGACAAUCAUCAUAAAAUUUGAAAAAAAGAAUAUCCAAACACAAAUCAAAUAUUAAAUGUCAUGACAGCGACACUUGUGCUUUAGCAGCUCAUGCUUUACAAUUAGGACAUUAUUUGGAUUUUGACAAGGCAACAUCUGAAUCAAAUUGGUAUAAACGGAAUAUCAAAGAGAUGAUCCAUAUUAGUAAAAACAACAAUACCGUUAAUGGAUGUACGGAUGUACAAAAUCUAAGUCACCUAUAUUUAGAUAUACUAUAGUUAAAAAAUUUCGCGCCAAACAACAGUUAUGGUAAUUCUCACUUUCGACAAUUGACUACAACAUCGAAUUAUUGAUUCUGGUAAUAGAUCGUAAUCAAUCCUCCUGUCACUUCCUUCCAUCAUGCCGUUUAAACAACAUCAAAGCGGAAAAGGUUGUCACUUAUUCAUAAUGUCCAACCCCCUCCAGUAAACAACGUUGCUCGCGUAUCAACAUACCAAAAUGCAGCUAGUGGACUUGCAACAAUUACAAAUAGUUAACAUGAUUGACAACCAACCGCCUGAUUUGCAAAAUAACACGGAACCAACCCAGAAAGAGGAGCAUCUGGAGGCAGAGGAGUAUGUACAGGAAGAUGACUACAUUGAAGAUGAUAACCAGGGUGGAGAAGGUGAAGGUGUAGUCGAGAAUGUUGAAGUAUAUAUUCACUCCCCUACUAU